AUAUAUAUAUUUGGGCUGUAAUGAUACGCGUAUCAAACCGAAAAUCGCGAUACUCAAAGCCACGAACCUGUCUCGCGGUGUGAGAAGGCAGAAGCGCGAUAUGCCCUUUCUAACUCUUCGGUCAAAUUGUCCGAUUGAAAUUUGCUAAUAAUUUGUCUAAAUAAUAGUCUGCUGACAGCGCCCCCUCCUAUCGAUGCCGUAAAUAUGUGACGGGAUGCCCUCUCUGUGAUCACAGCUCUCCGUGGCUACGGAGGAUUGCAUUUCUCCACAGCCGUCGAAGCCCUCAUAUGCGAUAUGAACGACAUUUAUCCAGAGUGGGCCAAGCGUGAAAAAAAUUGCCUGUGUGAUCCUGUCUCUAUUGUUUUGUGUGAUUUGACUGGCAGUUUGUCUGCUUAUAGGUCGGAAUGAAGCGGCCACCGAUUAUUGACAGGAUGGGUACUUUAUUCUACCGGACUAGUUCGCUUCUUCACUAGACACACGCGCUACCGCUCGCUCUCCUCGCUCGUCCACUCACUCGCUGACGUCACUCACACACGCAUACGCACACUGCCAUUCUCCCGCACACACAAAUGCUACUCCCUAUGCCUCGUUAUUGCGACGUUCAUGUUUUUCCUCAUCUAUUGAAAGUUAGGCUAUUAAACAUGUUGCAUUCUA